GAUUCAUGUACAAAGGGAACCUCAUUACGCGGGUCAUGAAUACAUCACUGAUCAUCUCGAAGUGCCUCUUGAAGUAAAUCUUAUUCCAAUUAAUGGGGAAAAUCACUUACGGAACAUUUUACUCUUGGAAAAAGUUCCACAUGUCAACAGCGAAGUUCAG